rnacentral:rRNA from 1 species
GCGCCGACGAGUGGCGAACGGGUGAGUAAUGCAUCGGAACGUGCCCAGUAGUGGGGGAUAGCCCGGCGAAAGCCGGAUUAAUACCGCAUGAGACCUGAGGGUGAAAGCGGGGGAUCGCAAGACCUCGCGCUACUGGAGCGGCCGAUGUCAGAUUAGCUAGUUGGUGGGGUAAAGGCCUACCAAGGCAACGAUCUGUAGUUGGUCUGAGAGGACGACCAGCCACACUGGGACUGAGACGCGGCCCAGACUCCUACGGGAGGCAGCAGUGGGGAAUUUUGGACAAUGGGCGCAAGCCUGAUCCAGCAAUGCCGCGUGCAGGAAGAAGGCCUUCGGGUUGUAAACUGCUUUUGUCAGGGAAGAAAUCCUCUGGGUUAAUACCUCGGGGGGAUGACGGUACCUGAAGA